UACGGAGGGUGCAAGCGUUAUCCGGAAUCAUUGGGUUUAAAGGGUCCGCAGGCGGAAAGAUAAGUCAGUGGUGAAAUCUCCCAGCUCAACUGGGAAACUGCCAUUGAUACUGUUUUUCUUGAAUUUGGUCGGAGUGGGCGGAAUGUGUCAUGUAGCGGUGAAAUGCAUAGAUAUGACACAGAACACCGAUAGCGAAGGCAGCUCACUAGACCUGAAGUGACGCUCAUGGACGAAAGCGUGGGGAGCGAACAGG
rnacentral:rRNA from 1 species